GACGAACGCUGGCGGCGUGCCUAAUACAUGCAAGUAGAACGCUGAAGAGAGGAGCUUGCUCUUCUUGGAUGAGUUGCGAACGGGUGAGUAACGCGUAGGUAACCUGCCUUGUAGCGGGGGAUAACUAUUGGAAACGAUAGCUAAUACCGCAUAACAAUGGAUGACACAUGUCAUUUAUUUGAAAGGGGCAAUUGCUCCACUACAAGAUGGACCUGCGUUGUAUUAGCUAGUAGGUGGGGUAAUGGCUCACCUAGGCGACGAUACAUAGCCGACCUGAGAGGGUGAUCGGCCACACUGGGACUGAGACACGGCCCAGACUCCUACGGGAGGCAGCAGUAGGGAAUCUUCGGCAAUGGGGGCAACCCUGACCGAGCAACGCCGCGUGAGUGAAGAAGGUUUUCGGAUCGUAAAGCUCGGUUGUAAGUCAAGAACGGGUGUGAGAGUGGAAAGUUCACACUGUGACGGUAGCUUACCAGAAAGGGACGGCUAACUACGUG
rnacentral:rRNA from 1 species